UUUCCGGUUGAUCCCGCCGGACCUGACUGCUAUCGGAUUGAUACUAAGCCAUGCGAGUCUUUGUAGUAAUACAAGGCAGACGGCUCAGUAACACGUAGUCAACCUACCCUAUGGACAAGAAUAAUCUCGGGAAACUGGGCAUAAUUCUUGAUAGAUCAUAAUGCCUGGAAUGGUUUAUGGUUAAAAUGAUUCGUCGCCAUAGGAUGGGACUGCGGCCUAUCAGCUUGUUGGUGAGGUAAUGGCCCACCAAGGCGAUUACAGGUACGGGCUCUGAGAGGAGAAGCCCGGAGAUGGGUACUGAGACACGGACCCAGGCCCUAUGGGGCGCAGCAGGCGAGAAAACUUUGCAAUGUGCGAAAGCACGACAAGGUUAAUCCGAGUGAUUUCUGCUAAAGAAAUCUUUUGCCAGUCAUAAAACCACUGGUGAAUAAGGGGUGGGCAAGUUCUGGUGUCAGCCGCCGCGGUAAAACCAGCACCUCAAGUGGUCAGGAUGAUUAUUGGGCCUAAAGCAUCCGUAGCCGGCUUUGUUAGUUUUCGGUUAAAUCCAUGUGCUCAACGCAUGGGCUGCCGAAAAUACUGCAUGGCUAGGGAGUGGGAGAGGUAGACGGUACUCAGUAGGAAGGGGUAAAAUCCUUUGAUCUAUUGAUGACCACCUGUGGCGAAGGCGGUCUACCAGAACACGUUCGACGGUGAGGGAUGAAAGCUGGGGGAGCAAACCGGAUUAGAUACCCGGGUAGUCCCAGCUGUAAACGAUGCAGACUCGAUGAUGCAUUGGCAUAAUAGCCAGUGCAGUGUCGCAGGGAAGCCGUUAAGUCUGCCGCCUGGGAAGUACGUACGCAAGUAUGAAACUUAAAGGAAUUGGCGGGGGAGCACCACAAGGGGUGAAGCCUGCGGUUCAAUUGGAUUCAACGCCGGGA
rnacentral:rRNA from 1 species